GACGUAGGUGGCGAACGUUAUCCGGAAUCAUUGGGCGUAAAGGGUGCGUAGAUGGCAUGAUAAGUUAUUAGUGGGAAAUCGAGGCUCAACCUCGUGGAAGCUGGUAAUACUGUUUUGCUUGAGUGCAGGAGAGGUUAACGGAACUCCAUGUGGAGCGGUAAAAUGCGUAGAUAUAUGGAAGAACAUCAAUAACGGCGAAGGCAGUUAACUAUUCUGCUACUGACAUUGAGGCACGAAAGCGUGGGGAGCAAAACGGG
rnacentral:rRNA from 1 species